UAGCAGCGCUCAAUCUCCGCUCCACCGCAGCGCCCCGCAGCAGCAGCCACCCUCGUCCGUCUCCCGUACACCCCGCGCCACGAGAGAUCAACGCUGAACCAUCCGCGCCCACCGUCGGCGUCGUCGCUGCGUUGUCUCUCUCGCUCGCACACGCAUACGGAUUGCCGUCCAUCCCGCGGAUCGCACUUGAAGCACCUCCGCAGCCGAGUGAAGAACGAGAGAGAGAGAGAGAGGGUGCGAGAGAG